GACGAACGCUGGCGGCGUGCCUAACACAUGUCAAGUCGAACGAGGUCCAUGCAGUGGCAACACUGCGGAAGACCUAGUGGCGAACGGGUGAGUAACACGUGAGGAACUUGCCCCGGAGACCGGGAUAAGCCCCCGAAAGGGGGUCUAAUACCGGAUGUCCUCACCGAGUCGCAUGGCUUGGUGAGGAAAUGGAUUCCGCUCCGGGAGAGCCUCGCGGCCUAUCAGCUAGUUGGUGGGGUAACGGCCCACCAAGGCGUCGACGGGUAGCUGGUCUGAGAGGACGAUCAGCCACACUGGGACUGAGACACGGCCCAGACUCCUACGGGAGGCAGCAGUGGGGAAUCUUGCGCAAUGGGCGAAAGCCUGACGCAGCAACGCCGCGUGCGGGAUGACGGCCCUCGGGUUGUAAACCGCUUUCAGUGGGGACGAACCAAGACGGUACCCACAGAA
rnacentral:rRNA from 1 species